rnacentral:rRNA from 1 species
UACGUAGGGUGCGAGCGUUGUCCGGAAUUAUUGGGCGUAAAGAGCUCGUAGGCGGUGUGUCGCGUCGGCCGUGAAAACCUGGGGCUUAACUCUGGGCGUGCGGUCGAUACGGGCAUCACUAGAGUUCGGCAGGGGAGACUGGAAUUCCUGGUGUAGCGGUGAAAUGCGCAGAUAUCAGGAGGAACACCGGUGGCGAAGGCGGGUCUCUGGGCCGUAACUGACGCUGAGGAGCGAAAGCGUGGGGAGCGAACAGG